rnacentral:rRNA from 1 species
GGGGGGGGGGGGGGGGGGGGGGGGGGGGGGCGGGGGGGGGGGGGGGGGCCCGGUGGGGGUGGUCGGGGGGCGAGCGGGGGGGUGAGACGGGGGUGACCGGCGCUUGGCGUCGGGGUAGCUUCAGGAGACUGGGGCGACUACCGGUUCGGAGUCCUGGCUGCGUGUGGGGGGUUGGUAAGCUUCGGCGGUUUUGGAUGGACUCGAGGGUUAUCGGCUUGUUGGUGGGGUAGAUGUUUUCCAAGGCGUGGACGGGGAUCCGGCCUGGGAGGGCGACCUGCCGCAUUGGGACUGAGAUAAGGCCCAGACUCCUACGGGAGGCAGCAGUGGGGAAUAUUGCACAAUGGGCGGAAGCCUGAUGCAGCAACGCCGCGGGCGGGAUGACGGCCUUCGGGUUGUAAACCGCUUUCAGCAGGGGCGAAGCUUGUGGUGACGGUACCUGCAGAAGAAGCACCGGCUAACUACGUG